GUCUAUGGCCAUGCCACCCUAUACGUGCCCGAUCCCAUCUGAUCUCGGAAGCUAAGCAGGGUCGGGCCUGGUUAGUACUUGGAUGGGAGACCGCCUAGGAAUACCAGAUGCUGUAGGCA
rnacentral:rRNA from 1 species